CAGCAGCCGCGGGAAUACGUAGGUGGCAAGCGUUGUCCGGAAUUAUUGGGCGUAAAGGGCUCGCAGGCGGUUUCUUAAGUCUGAUGUGAAGGCCCCCGGCUCAACCGGGGAGGGUCAUUGGAAACUGGGAAACUUGAGUGCAGAAGAGGAGAGUGGAAUUCCACGUGUAGCGGUGAAAUGCGUAGAGAUGUGGAGGAACACCAGUGGCGAAGGCGACUCUCUGGUCUGUAACUGACGCUGAGGAGCGAAAGCGUGGGGAGCGAACAGGAUUAGAGACCCCUGUAGUCCCUGUCUCUUAUAC
rnacentral:rRNA from 1 species